GAAGAGCUGUUCUAGGCUGUCACAGUUCAAUGCACACAGGUGAGAUAUACUUAACCUUCCUGGGAACAAAGACGUGAGCCCACAUCCUUUUUGGCCUGUCCCCCACCAAGAAUUAGGAGCUGCCUGGAGUCUGGAUCACUUUCUGAAGCAUCUGCCUUUCUUGGAGCACAGCAGGACAGGGCUCACAACCAAUUUCACACCAUUUUGAAAAAAACAGAUGUACUAGCUCAGCCUCCCAAGUUCAAGCAGUGUAUAAAAUGUUUUGCAGGAAUCAGCUGAAAUUGUUGUAGUAGUGUUUUCACACCAGAGUAUUCUCCUCUACCCAUCUUUUCUGUUAGUUAAGAAAAAUAGGACAAAUUAUUUAAAAUUGUUUCACCUGAGUUGAGAGCCUGGCACACAGACCUGUCAACAGCCACACAUUCAGGUUAUGUUGGGGAUCUUGGAAAGCAUGAAAAAUGCAAAAUUUGAAAGACAUCCUGAAGUAAAAAUGCAAAGUGCCUAUAGGAACAACAGGAAGAAGACAUGAAAUAGAGGCAAAAAAAGGUGGCAGUGUUUUAACUUGAAUGAAUAAUGUAAUUUAGUACUGUUUAGCUAAAAAUUAAUUUCAAAUUCCACCCACUUGCUACUUGUAUAAAAAGAAAAAUACUUGGGAGCCCUCCUUCCACUUCCCCUUCCAUGGAGGUCAGUACUGAGCAUGGGAAGCCACUUCAGAUGUUUCCUAAUUGCCUCAAUACCUUCUUCCCCUUCCCUCACAGAACAUCCCAUACUUCCCUACUCAAGACAAGAAACACUGAUCUCAGCAAAAGGCUUAUGAACGUCACACAGUGGGCAGGGGCAGUGCUGGCCACCCUGGUGUGCUCUUGAGCCUUCAGGCAUCAGGGGAUGGCCUUGCAGCAAGGCUGGGCACAGGUUGGACAGCUUCCAAGGCAGACACAGAAUGACCAGCUUGCAUUUCUGUUACACUUAACCCAUAUUGGCUGGCCAGACAACCCCUGGUCAUUUCUGAACUCAUAUUUGCAAGACACAAGUGUGACCUUAGGGAAAUUACAAAAUACAAACAGUACAAUUUCUGAGCUGACUACUCCCAAAGACACAGCCAAAAACCAACUCCUGAGUUGUUAACAGGUUUGUACAUUACAAUUCUGGUCCCUGUCCUGGUAACUUUGCUGGAAACAUGCUCUAGUACAUCAUAUUUUUGCCAGUAUAUUUUUACCUUCCUGUAAGAAGGCUUAUGUUAGCCAAACAAUUACUAAAAAUAUUUUUUUCUGACUACUUUUCAGAAGAAAGGGUUUUGGCGGUCUCACUGCAGGUCUUUGUGCCAACUGGUUUAUUAAGGAGUUAACAAAACAUUAAGAAGGUAUGAACAACCAGACCAGACCAAACAGGCACAGGAGACCCUGGGCCCUUGAUGGCCUCUGGAAAUCCAAAGGACCCAAAGCAGCUUGUACAGGUUCAUCCUCAAGCUGAGAGGACAUGUAGUUGGCCAGACUGAAGAAACAAGGACAAAAGGUGCAUCUGCACAGAGGGCCCAGCAGUUGAGUAGCAAGGAACUCCUCUCCUGGCUACUCAGCCCUCCAUAAUGAAGAUUCACCCCUACAGCAGCAGUACCUUAAUGCUGGGCCAGGGCAGUUAAGGACACACAUCAUCCCAGAGAACUGCUGCCCAGUGCAAGAACACUGCACCCGUCUCCAGCUGAGCCCAGAGCUUCCUGCUGGGAAGCAUCCCAACAGAAUGAAACAGAAUGAAUAAAGAAACAAGAAUCAAGUAAAUAUGCCAACAUAACCUGCUGCAUAACUGCUGACCCCGUGGAGCCCCACCAGGCCUAUGCACAUCUGGUUCAAAAUCUGAGACAUCAAGGAAUCCCUGCAGGAGAGAGAUGUGGAAUCCUCUCCCUCCAACACAGCACCUACCUGGUAAGCCUUGCUCGGAUCACUUUCUAACUACCUUCCCAGUCACUUGGAAUUAUGCAGUAAUCAAGACUAUUCUGAUCUAUAAUAAACCUCAUGUCUCCUGCU